UGCUUGCCCUAGCCCUACACGACUGGCAUCUCUGCAUGCCCCUUGGGGAGACAGGAGCAGCAGGUCUCAGUGCACUGCCUGUGCCUGCAAGCAUCAC